GUAAAAAUGCCAGAGUUAAAUAUGGGAUUGGUUUAGGUCCAAUAUACGGUGGAAGCCUUUUUACU
rnacentral:tRNA from 1 species